rnacentral:lncRNA from 1 species
UAUUUUUACUCUUACCUAUGCUAGAUGCUGACAUAAUUAUUUGAUGUUGUCGCACAUAAGCUAAUAUCACUACUAUUCUGUGUAACAUAAAUAUACACUACUAUAUUUGAUUGUAUUUAAUAGUAGUUUUCGUUUUUAUAUAAUAAUAUAUUCUGUAUUUAUAAAUUAUUUAAAGUAGUAUUUUUUUUUUUUAAAAAGUAGUGAGUUUAAGAUAAUUAGGAAAUAAAAUAUAUUAUUUUAAUAGAUGUAUUUCUUUUAAUACUUCAUAUUUAUUUAUUCUUUUAAAAAAGAAACAAAAUAAUAAGAAUUUGCCAAGUCAUAUUAUGUUUAUAAAAUAAAAACAAAAUAGUCGUAGUUGCAAAAAAAAAAAAAAUUAACAUUGUUAACGCCGUCAUAAACACUGAGCACUAAAUCUUAAGUUUUUGGGUAAAUCAUAAAUUUUUAGAUAAAUCAUAAACUCUAAAUCAUAAACAUUGAACACUAAAUCCUAAAACACUAAACACUAAACCCUAAACGCCGUUAGCAAAAUUCUAAAUCCUAUAGUUUAGGAUUUACCCAAAGUUUU